UACGUAGGUGGCAAGCGUUGUCCGGAAUUAUUGGGCGUAAAGCGCUCGCAGGCGGUUCCUUAAGUCUGAUGUGAAAUCUUGCAGCUUAACUGCAAGCGGUCAUUGGAAACUGGGGGACUUGAGUACAGAAGAGGAGAGCGGAAUUCCACGUGUAGCGGUGAAAUGCGUAGAGAUGCGGAGGAACACCAGUGGCGAAGGCGGCUCUCUGGUCUGUAACUGACGCUGAGGCACGAAAGCGUGGGUAGCGAACAGGAUUA
rnacentral:rRNA from 1 species